rnacentral:rRNA from 1 species
UAAGGAAUAUUGGUCAGUGGACGCAAGUCUGAACCAGCCAUGCCGCGUGAAGGAUGAAGGUCCUCUGGAUUGUAAACUUCUUUUAUCUGGGACGAAAACGGGAUUUUUAUCUCAAUUGACGGUACCAGAGGAAUAAGCACCGGCUAACUCCGUGCCAGCAGCCGCGGUAAUACGGAGGGUGCGAGCGUUAUCCGGAUUUACUGGGUUUAAAGGGUGCGUAGGUGGGCUUAUAAGUCAGUGGUGAAAUCUCCGAGCUUAACUUGGGAACUGCCAUUGAUACUAUAUAUCUUGAAUACCGUAGAGGUAAGCGGAAUAUGUCAUGUAGCGGUGAAAUGCUUAGAUAUGACAUAGAACACCAAUUGCGAAGGCAGCUUGCUACACAAUCAUUGACGCUGAGGCACGAAAGCGUGGGGAUCAAACA